AGAGUGAGAGAGUGUGAUUCAUUCACAGCAUUGAUCAGACAAAGAAACAACCAAAUCCGAAGUAAGGAACCAACCAGGCAGCAGGUCGCCUCAUGUCGGUCUCUCAGAUCACCCCCACCCUGUUCAUCAGCGGGGCCGACGCCCCCCUCAACGCGGCGCUGGUGUCUCAGAAAGGCAUCACCCUGAUCGUCAACGCCACGCUCAGCCACGCCUGCCCCGCCUACCCAGGGGUGGAAUGUGUGCGGGUUCCCGUCUGCGACCUGCCCAGCGCGCGCCUCGGAGACCACUUCGACCGGGUGGCCGAGCGUAUCCACGGCAACCGAGCGGGCGGCACACUGGUGCACUGCGCUGCCGGCAUGAGCCGCUCCCCGGCGCUGGUGAUGGCCUAUCUGAUGCGCUUCCGGGGGGUGACGCUCCGCCAGGCGCACCGCUGGGUGCAGGACAGCCGGCCCUACGUCAGGCUGAACGCCGGCUUCUGGGAGCAGCUGCUGCAGUACGAGAGGCGGCUGUACGGCAAGAACACCGUCAGGGUGGCGGCAGUCGACAACAUGUCGCCCCCCCCGCCCCCACUGAUCCCGAGGCUGACAAGGGCGACGCCACCGCAGCAGCAGAGGACCUGGUUAACUCUGGUCCCCCGGUCCCCCCUCAUGACCCGAGCAUCAGGGUUGCCCCUGACGACACAAGCUCAGGUGACGACAUCAGUAAACAAGUUCAGAAGAGGAACCAGGCCCAAAGUCUGAGAACGGAUCCCCCACAGAACCAGGUUUAAAAACCACCUCACCUGGCUGCAGUCAUGAACAGGUGUGCUCCAGGACCUGCUGACAUCACAGGUGGGCGUGGCCAGAGCACAUUUCUGAGUGACACAGGUGUGAAUCCUUCAGCCAGAGGGGUCUGCAGAACCCUGAGGUCAGGUUCAGCUGUAGUGACCUCUGACACCACGACCCUGUUUGUGACAGUGAGGUGUUUCCUGAACAAAUUGACCUUUGACCUCUGAUGACCUCUGACACCACAGUAUCUGAGACUCGAGUUCAUACCAGGUGUGAACUGGACCUGAGACCCGACACCUGAUGAGGAUCCUGGUUCUGCUCAGGUCUACAUGAGACCGGCUCCAGGUGUGAAACUGAUUGUUAAGAAUCAGCUGCUUCUGUGUUUUAAUGCAGUGGUUCCCAACCUGUGGGCCGGGGCCCUCUGGUGGACCGUGAAGGACAGGAACCCUCAUGUCGUCGCUGCCAGACCACAUCGUUUACUUUAAUUCUAAAAACAGACAUUUUUCACAUGUGGCCCUGAUGCUGAAGGAUCCUUGAUCUUCAUCAUUAAAAUAAAAAGCUCUGAGGACGUUUUGUUUGUUACAUGGUCGGAUGUGGAGCGUCAACAUGUGUGAGAUCUUCCAGUGUUUGAUCCACUGGUUUCAUGUGUGAAACUGAUGUUUUCAUACAAACGUUGAGAGUGAAGACGCCACAGCUCCAGCUGUUUACUUCACAUCUGUAAACAUCAACAUCUGCCUUUUCACAACACGUGUUGUAACAACAUGAACGAGGAUAAUUACUGUUUCUAACAGUCACUUAAUAAAUAUCUCAUUUUUAUGUUUCU